AGCAGUCGCCGCGGGAACACGAAGGUGGCAGGCGUUGUCCGGAAUUAUUGGGCGUAAAGCGCGCGCAGGCGGCCUAUCCAGUCUGUCUUAAAAGUUCGGGGCUCAACCCCGUGAUGGGAUGGAAGCUAGUAGGCUAGAGUAUCGGAGAGGAAAGCGGAAUUCCUAGUGUAGCGGUGAAAUGCGUAGAUAUUAGGAAGAACACCAGUGGCGAAGGCGGCUUUCUGGACGAAAACUGACGCUGAGGCGCGAAAGCCAGGGGAGCGAACGGGAUUAGAUACCCCUGUAGUCCCUGUCUCUUAUACA
rnacentral:rRNA from 1 species